rnacentral:ncRNA from 1 species
AGUCUCUGGAGAAUCUCUUAAAUGGGGUGCCGAAGGUGUAAGGGCCGCGCAAGCGGACCCGAAUCUCUCAGGCAAGCGGACAGAGCAA